AUGGUUGAUAAAGCUUCAUUUUUCCAUAGUCAUUUAUGCAUACAGUAUAUAUUAACUAUUUCUUAUUCCCUGGAUGGUAUGCUAGUCUGUUAUAUAAUUUGUCAAGUUUACAUCUUCAGCAAGGGAUUCUAUACUGAAAUUUCCUCUAAGAAAUACCUUUCCAGGACUGUCAUUAAGUUCUGAUUCACCUCUAGCCUUGAUCUUCAAACCCAUAACAAUCUUGUUACUUCAUAGGCGAAUUGUAUCAACUUCAGGCAAGUUCACCCAUAGCAUCAAGAGUCCAUCAAGCAUGCAUGUUCAGCCAUAACAGGUGCUACAGGUUACGGCCCUUAUUGACCGCCCUGCCUGUCUAGAAGUGUCAACUUAGGCCCCAGUUAUAUGGUCUUGGGUACCCAAGACAACCCUCCCCCUAAGGCAACUUUGUCGAGCGCUUAUACGUGAAAACAUAGUCCCUGUAGGUCAAAUCAAAGUUGACCCUGCAUGAUUAUUCAUAAUCCUUAUUGAAUUAUCAAAUGUACAGAUAUCCCUCUUUCUUUGAGUUUCACUCAGUCACGGUGGGUUUUGCCGAGUUAAUUUUCACUUCUUUGAUACAAAUUUCUUCUUUGAAUCCUAAAUCUAGGCAUUACAUGACACUUGCCACACCAAGAGUUGUCCUGGUUAGGCGAACCAAAGUGUUUACAUGAAGAGAAGUUGACAGUCCUGCUUGCUAGGGUUACCCCAUCUGCCGAGGUGAGACAACUCACCCACCCAAGUUGUCUCGCCCCCGAGACGGGUUCACAAUCCGAUUGGUUGAUUUUGCAAAAAAAUAUGUGUAAAGUUACCUCGGCCAGGGUAACUCGGGGGGAGAGUUGUCUCGGGUACCUGAGACCAUAUAUAUGGGGCCUGAAUUAAUAAAGCAGGUACACAGUUACACAUAGCAUGCAUAGGUGAGUGUUAAAAAAAGAUGCCCAAAAAAUGCCUUAAUUUUCGCUUCACAUAACUACUUUAACAUUUUCAAAUACAUUUUAUACACUGAAGAGAGACCCAUCAUUUCACCUUACUAUAGUAUGUUUAACUUGCUUGGUAACUACUGCUAGUCUCCUCGGCUAUUUAGUUUUGAUAGAAGAAAUGCGAUUAACUUUUCAGGAUAGUAUAUACUGUAAAUUGGAUUAUUAUGAUUUCGAGGUUAAUUUCUAUUAAGCUAUCCUUUUUAUCAUUAUUAUUUAUUAUCAUCUCAUGUAUAACUUAUGAUUUGUGGUGACUCGCCUAGUAUGGCCGUAUGGGGUCUUGGACACUUGCGGGCCUCCAAUGACUACUUCUAUUUUAAAUAUAUUCUUUUUAGAUAUA